UGGGGAAUUUUGGACAAUGGGCGAAAGCCUGAUCCAGCAAUGCCGCGUGUGUGAAGAAGGCCUUCGGGUUGUAAAGCACUUUUGUCCGGAAAGAAAUCCUCUGGGUUAAUACCUCGGGGGGAUGACGGUACCGGAAGAAUAAGCACCGGCUAACUACGUGCCAGCAGCCGCGGUAAUACGUAGGGUGCAAGCGUUAAUCGGAAUUACUGGGCGUAAAGCGUGCGCAGGCGGUCCGCUGAAGACAGAUGUGAAAUCCCCGGGCUUACCUGGAACUGCAUUUGUGACUGGCGGGCUAGAGUAUGGCAGAGGGGGUAGAAUUCCACGUGUAGCAGUGAAAUGCGUAGAGAUGUGGAGGAAUACCGAUGGCGAAGGCAGCCCCCUGGGCCAAUACUGACGCUC
rnacentral:rRNA from 1 species